UCCUUGUUAGCUCAGUUGGCAAAGCGCUCCAUUGGAAAUGGAGAGGUCCCUGGUGCGGUACCUGGACCAGGUG
rnacentral:tRNA from 1 species